rnacentral:tRNA from 1 species
AUCUUUAUAGUUUAUUUAAGGUUAAAAUAUUAAAUUGCAAGUUUAAAGAAUUUUUUAAAAAAUUAAGAUU